UUUCCGUAGGUGAACCUGCGGAAGGAUCAUUAUUGUAUAACCGAGGUGCGCGGGCUGUCGUUGACCCGCAAGGUCGUGCACGCCCGUGUGCCUUCCCACACAUCCAUCCCACCCCUAUGUGCACUUCCGCGGGGGUCCCCCCUCCGCUUGUUCGGAGGGGGGCUUUUGUUUUUACCCACCAUUUACUUGCUGUUAAGAAUGUAUUUUUUGUUUCUGCGAUCUGGCAAUCCAUACGACUUUCAACAACGGAUCUCUUGGCUCUCGCAUCCGUGAAGACAG
rnacentral:misc_RNA from 1 species